UAACCACUCUACAGUCGUUGGUAAUUAUAGCUACCGAUUCCAAAUUCACCUCAGGAGUCGAUGGUAGCUAUACUUACCAAUAGUCGGGGUUCCGUUAGGGUGACCAAUUUUAUGGAUUAACUAGUUUUACAAGCUAGUAUAGAUUAUAAAAUUAUACUAGUAUUGUGUACUAUAAAAAUCCUUACUAGGUGGUAUUUGCAUCUCUUCCCUAUGAGUUGGUAACAUUAAAAAAACAACUGUCGAAGUCAGACGAGUGUUGGUCGAGUCUACUGUCAACUACUGUGUUUGCGAUUGAGUGUUUUAGACAAGAAAUAUGCCCAGAUGCCCAGGAUAUUGAUUGCAGGGUACACCAAAUUUGGUCAACUUUCAUCAUGAGAUGCUAUAGUUCAGCUAUAGAGAGGACACAGAGAGUAAUUACAAAAAAAAAAAACGAAUUACUAAACUGCCAGUAGAUGUCCGACAGGAGCUUACGGACAGAAAGCGGCAGGCGCAAUUAGAUUUAGCAAUAAGGCCGCCUUUUGUCUCUAGUGUCUCGAUUUAUUUGUUUGGUACGUCAUUUUGUGCAAUCAAGUAUAUUGUAUUGCAAGACUGUAAUUUUAAAUUCUAAUAAAAAAUAUAUAUUUUUAA